rnacentral:rRNA from 1 species
GACGAACGCUGGCGGCGUGCCUAAUACAUGCAAGUAGGACGCAGUUGCGAACGGGUGAGUAACGCGUAGGUAACUACCUAUUAGAGGGGGAUAACUAUUGGAAACGAUAGCUAAUACCGCAUACUAGUAGAUGGACCUGCGGUGUAUUAGCUAGUAGGUAGGGUAAUGGCCUACCUAGGCAACGAUACAUAGCCGACUUGGGCGGGUGAUCGGCCCACCUGGGAAUGGAACACGGCCCAGAAUCCCAGUGGAGGCAGCAGUAGGGAAUCUUCGGCAAUGGGGGGAACCCUGACUGUGCAACGCCGGGUGAGUGAAGAAGGUUUUCGGAUCGUAAAGCUCUUUUGUUAAGGAAGCGGUACUUAACCAGAAAGGGACGGCUAACUACGUGCCAGCAGCCGCGGUAAUAC